rnacentral:rRNA from 1 species
GGCGAACGCUGGCGGCGUGCUUAACACAUGCAAGUCGAACGGAAAGGCCCUGCUUGCCGGGUGCUCGAGUGGCGAACGGGUGAGUAACACGUGGGUGAUCUGCCCCUUAUUUUGGGAUAAGCCUGGGAAACUGGGUCUAAUACUGGAUAGGACCAUGCUGUAGGUGGUGUGGUGGAAAGAUUAGUUUCGGUAAGGGAUGAGCUCGCGGCCUAUCAGCUUGUUGGUGGGGUAAUGGCCUACCAAGGCGUCGACGGGUAGCCGGCCUGAGAGGGUGGACGGCCACAUUGGGACUGAGAUACGGCCCAGACUCCUACGGGAGGCAGCAGUGGGGAAUAUUGCACAAUGGGCGCAAGCCUGAUGCAGCGACGCCGCGUGGGGGAUGACGGCCUUCGGGUUGUAAACUCCUUGCAGCCAUGACGAAGCCCUUGUGGUGACGGUAGUGGUAGAAGAAGCACCGGCUAACUACGUG